rnacentral:rRNA from 1 species
AUUGAACGCUGGCGGCAUGCCUUACACAUGCAAGUCGAACGGCAGCACGGGAGCUUGCUCCUGGUGGCGAGUGGCGAACGGGUGAGUAAUACAUCGGCACGUACCCAGGAGUGGGGGAUAACGUAGCGAAAGUUACGCUAGUACCGCAUAUUCUGUGAGCAGGAAAGCGGGGGAUCGCAAGACCUCGCGCUCUUGGAGCGGCCGAUGUCGGAUUAGCUAGUUGGUGAGGUAAAAGCUCACCUAGGCGACGAUCCGUAGCAGGUCUGAGAGGAUGAUCUGCCACACUGGGACUGAGACACGGCCCAGACUCCUACGGGAGGCAGCAGUGGGGAAUUUUGGACAAUGGGGGCAACCCUGAUCCAGCCAUGCCGCGUGAGUGAAGAAGGCCUUCGGGUUGUAAAGCUCUUUCGGCGGGGAAGAAAUGGCAACGGCUAAUAUCCGUUGUUGAUGACGGUACCCGCAUAAGAAGCACCGGCUAACUACGUGCCAGCAGCCGCGGUAAUACGUAGGGUGCGAGCGUUAAUCGGAAUUACUGGGCGUAAAGCGUGCGCAGGCGGUUUCGUAAGACAGACGUGAAAUCCCCGGGCUCAACCUGGGAACUGCGUUUGUGACUGCGAGGCUAGAGUACGGCAGAGGGGGGUAGAAUUCCACGUGUAGCAGUGAAAUGCGUAGAGAUGUGGAGGAAUACCGAUGG